AUUGAACGCUGGCGGCAGGCCUAACACAUGCAAGUCGAGCGGAUGAAGGGAGCUUGCUCCUGGAUUCAGCGGCGGACGGGUGAGUAAUGCCUAGGAAUCUGCCUGGUAGUGGGGGAUAACGUCCAGAAACGGGCGCUAAUACCGCAUACGUCCUGAGGGAGAAAGUGGGGGAUCUUCGGACCUCACGCUAUCAGAUGAGCCUAGGUCGGAUUAGCUAGUUGGUGGGGUAAAGGCCUACCAAGGCGACGAUCCGUAACUGGUCUGAGAGGAUGAUCAGUCACACUGGAACUGAGACACGGUCCAGACGCCUACGGGAGGCAGCAGUGGGGAAUAGUGGACAAUGGGCGAAAGCCUGAUCCAGCCAUGCCGCGUGUGUGAAGAAGGUCUUCGGAUUGUAAAGCACUUUAAGUUGGGAGGAAGGGCAGUAAGUUAAUACCUUGCUGUUUUGACGUUACCAACAGAAUAAGCACCGGCUAACUUCGUG
rnacentral:rRNA from 1 species